rnacentral:rRNA from 1 species
CCCUUAGAUGUUCUGGGCCGCACGCGCGCUACACUGACGAAGUCAGCGAGCAUGUCCUACGCCGACAGGUGCGGGGAAUCUUGUCAAACUUCGUCGUGAUGGGGAUUGAUUAUUGAAAUUCUUGAUCAUCAACGAGGAAUUCCUAGUAAGCGCAAGUCAGCAGCUUGCGUUGAUUACGUCCCUGCCCUUUGUACACACCGCCCGUCGCUACUACCGAUUGAAUGGUUUAGUGAGAUCUUCGGAUUGGCGCCACUGCGGCUCAGCAAUGGGCUCGGUGGAUGCCGAAAAGUUGAUCAAACUUGAUCAUUUAGAGGAAGUAAAAGUCGUAACA